UACAAUUUUAUAUGGUAGUGUUAAUUAGUUGCAGUUUAAACAAUGUAAUUUAGAAAUAAAAAAACUACAGCAUAAAUUCGUGACAGAAUUCCCUUUAAUGAAAAAUAAUUUCUUCCUAAUAUAGAGGUACUGUUCAACUAAUACCAAACCUGACAGUGGUAUCUGGACACCCCCCCCAAUAGAUGGCUGGACACAGAGUAGUUUAAACAAAAAAAAAAUUUCAAUAGCUCAUAUGGGCUAAGCAUACACUAGACCACCACCACUUCUGGCAAGGCAAAAAUAGAAUUAUAGGGAAAUUGAGUUCAAGAAAGCUAAGAUUUUUCUCACAAAUAAUAACUAUUGACUCACUACAAUUAAAUGUAGAUGUGCUGCACCUAUCCUUAGUAUAAAAAUGUUUAUAGUGGUGAUUACAACUUACCCAUGUAUAUGGGUAUAUAGUGUAUGUAUAUACAGUAAAUGCAUGUGUGUCGUUGUAUAAGUUAGUUCUGCUAAUUGAAUGGAACUCAGAGUUUGCAAACAGAACGCCUCCUGAAAAAUCCAGUUCUCCAGGGCUAAACCUAACAUUCACAUAUGUGGAAUCUAAUGAGCUGGAAAGUAAGAACUUCUUUAAAUGCUUUGUGUGAAUUCAGAAUACAGUGGAAAGUAAAACAUAGAAAAUAUACGGCAUGUUAACAAGUACUAAUCCUACAACUAAUAUUUCAUCUACUGCUAUCUAACAUUUGACAUAAAUAACACAUAUCAUAAAGAGCCUUUUGGUAUUUGACUUCAGGAUCUUCAUGCAUCUUCGCUGGGGAGCAGGCCUCUAGUUGGGAUACUGCAGAUGUUAUUCUCCCAGGUACACUGGAACCCUGCCCAGGGGUGACAUUAUCUGGCAGGGGAGCAAGCUAAUGCAAUGGAUGGCAUGACAGUAGCCUGGAGGAUACUGGGAAUCCCAGGGGAUGCCUGGGAAAGAAGAAGAAUCCAAGAUGAGCCUGUUGAUUAUGAUAAAGGAUAUUUGGUAGUCCUAUUGGCAGUUAAAAGCAUGUACCCCUUUGUAAGGAUAUGUCUUAUAUGCACGCCUGCUAUAUGAGAGAGAUAUUUUGGCGAAUAUGUUACGGGGUCCUUUGAAGGGAUUUUGUGAUAAUGAUUGAAGUUUUGUUCUAGUUAAUAAAAUACCUUUUACAGUUUUCUUUA